rnacentral:rRNA from 1 species
AGAUUGAAGGAGCUUGCUCCUGAUUGAUAAACAUUUGAGUGAGUGGCGGACGGGUGAGUAACACGGUGGGUAACCUGACCCUAAAGGUGGGGAAUAACAUUUAGGAAACAGAUGCUAAUACCGCAUAAAACCUAACACCGCAUGGUGUAGGGUUGAAAGAUGGUUUCGGCUAUCACUUUAGGAUGGACCCGCGGUGCAUUAGUUAGUUGGUGAGGUAAAGGCUCACCAAGACCGUGAUGCAUAGCCGACCUGAGAGGGUAAUCGGCCACACUGGGACUGAGACACGGCCCAGACUCCUACGGGAGGCAGCAGUAGGGAAUCUUCCACAAUGGACGAAAGUCUGAUGGAGCAACGCCGCGUGAGUGAAGAAGGUUUCGGAUCGUAAACUCUGUUGUUGGAGAAGAAUGUAUCUGAUAGUAACUGAUCAGGUAGUGACGGUAUCCAACCAGAAAGCCACGGCUAACUACGUG